ACCUACGGGACGCAGCAGUGGGGAAUAUUGCACAAUGGGGGAAACCCUGAUGCAGCGACGCCGCGUGAGUGAAGAAGUAUCUCGGUACGUAAAGCUCUAUCAGCAGGGAAGAAAAAAAGUCUUUGGCUUUGGACGGUACCUGACUAAGAAGCCCCGGCUAACUACGUGCCAGCAGCCGCGGUAAUACGUAGGGGGCAAGCGUUAUCCGGAAUCACUGGGUGUAAAGGGAGCGUAGACGGCUGUGCAAGCCUGAAGUGAAAGGCGGGGGCCCAACCCCCGGACUGCUUUGGGAACUGUACGGCUGG
rnacentral:rRNA from 1 species